CUACGGGAGGCAGCAGUGGGGAAUAUUGGACAAUGGGCGCAAGCCUGAUCUAGCCAUGCCGCGUGAGUGACGAAGGCCUUAGGGUCGUAAAGCUCUUUCGCCAGAGAUGAUAAUGACAGUAUCUGGUAAAGAAACCCCGGCUAACUCCGUGCCAGCAGCCGCGGUAAUACGGAGGGGGUUAGCGUUGUUCGGAAUUACUGGGCGUAAAGCGUACGUAGGCGGAUUGGAAAGUAGGGGGUGAAAUCCCAGGGCUCAACCCUGGAACUGCCUCCUAAACUAUCAGUCUAGAGUUCGAGAGAGGUGAGUGGAAUUCCAAGUGUAGAGGUGAAAUUCGUAGAUAUUUGGAGGAACACCAGUGGCGAAGGCGGCU
rnacentral:rRNA from 1 species